rnacentral:rRNA from 1 species
UACGUAGGGAGCAAGCGUUGUUCGGAUUUACUGGGCGUAAAGGGCGCGUAGGCGGCGCGGUAAGUCACUUGUGAAAUCUCUGAGCUUAACUCGGAACGGCCAAGUGAUACUGCAGUGCUAGAGUGCAGAAGGGGCAAUCGGAAUUCUUGGUGUAGCGGUGAAAUGCGUAGAUAUCAAGAGGAACACCUGAGGUGAAGACGGGUUGCUAGGCUGACACUGACGCUGAGGCGCGAAAGCCAGGGGAGCAAACGGG